rfam:Solirubrobacterales bacterium 67-14 SCNpilot_bf_inoc_scaffold_192, whole genome shotgun sequence.
UCCGGUGGUGUAAUAGCGUGGUGGAAACACCUCUUCCCAUUCCGAACAGAGCCGUUAAGCACCACAGCGCCGAUGGUACUUGGGGGGCAACCCCCUGGGAGAGUAGGUCGCCGCCGGUU